UACGGGGGGGGCAAGCGUUGUUCGGAAUUACUGGGCGUAAAGGGCGCGUAGGCGGUUGGAUAAGUCAGCUGUGAAAACCACGGGCUUAACUCGUGGCCUGCAGUUGAGACUGUCUGGCUUGAGUGUGGGAGAGGAGAGUGGAAUUCCUGGUGUAGCGGUGAAAUGCGUAGAUAUCGAGAGGAACACCGGUGGCGAAGGCGGCCAACUGGACAGAUACUGACGCUGAGACUCGAAAGCGUGGGGAGCAAACAGG
rnacentral:rRNA from 1 species